rnacentral:rRNA from 1 species
GCACGUAGGCGGAUUUGUAAGUCAGGGGUGAAAUCCCCGGGCUUAACCUGGGAACUGCAUUGGUGACUGGCGGGCUAGAGUAUGGCAGAGGGGGGUAGAAUUCCACGUGUAGCAGUGAAAUGCGUAGAGAUGUGGAGGAAUACCGAUGGCGAAGGCAGCCCCCUGGGCCAAUACUGACGCUCAUGCACGAAAGCGUGGGGAGCAAAUAGGAUUAGAUACCCUGGUAGUCCACGCCCUAAACGAUGUCAACUAGUUGUCGGGUCUUCAUUGACUUGGUAACGAAGCUAACGCGUGAAGUUGACCGCCUGGGGAGUACGGUCGCAAGAUUAAAACUCAAAGGAAUUGACGGGGACCCGCACAAGCGGUGGAUGAUGUGGAUUAAUUCGAUGCAACGCGAAAAACCUUACCUACCCUUGACAUGUACGGAACCUUGCUGAGAGGUGAGGGUGCCCGAAAGGGAGCCGUAACACAGGUGCUGCAUGGCUGUCGUCAGCUCGUGUCGUGAGAUGUUGGGUUAAGUCCCGCAACGAGCGCAACCCUUGUCCCUAGUU